AACAGCACCAAUAGUAAAAAAACAGGCAAAAACAAAGCGUGAGACAAAAAAAACCAAAGGCCUGCAGGCACUCAGGGCUGGGCAGGACAAGGUGUGCGCCAAACGACAGGUAUGAUGCAGACCUGGGCGGAACCUCCUGGAGUGCUGGUGCUGAUAGUGAAGAUAAGGGUGUCUCACAAUCUCGGUCCAGGGAGGCGGGACGUUCUUCAAGAUCGUCAGACCAGUUGUGGUUACCUGUGCAAGGUGACGACAGACAGGCGUGUGAUCUAUCAGAGGAAUACAGACAGACUGCCCAGCGUCUGUUUCAGACACAACACGUGUUUUUGUUCCCAGAAAACCCACCUGUAAAGAGGCUGGAUCCGCUUAUUAAGCCGAGGAGGGGUCGAGCCGGACUGGAUGGAUGCGGCUCCGCUAACGGACGUGAUGACCUGAACGGUGGAGCCGUCCUUCUGCCCACAAGAAGAAUGGUGAGCCCAGCCCUCUGCGGACGGCGUGGAAGGCUGAGGAAAGUUCUGGACCAUGUCCUGCUCAUUGUCUUUGUCCUGCUUGCUCACACAGUAGCACCUGCCAUGACACUGUCAACUCCACGCAUCACACCGCUGUCUUUCUCUUCAGUGAGCACUAGAACUACAGAAACCUCCGGAACCACGUUUACUGCAAACCCAUCAGUAAGCACCCCACCUGAGAGAAGCACAGGCUCACCCCUGUCGUCGACCUUCACAUCUUCAGUGACUGUUACAAACACAACCUCCGUAACUACGCUGGAUCCUACUGUACAGCAGAACUCCUCUGCGAUCUCAGCCAACUUAGGAAACGCGUCAUCACCUUCUCCCAACCCUGGAUCACCAUCCUCGCUGCCACCAUCCACUGUGGCCACAUCACCCCCACCCCCACGCUCAACUCCACAUCAGCUGACAACGUCUGGUUUAGGUACCACUAAUAGAACCACCACACCUACGUCGUCAGUGACAGACACAGACACGACAGUGACUGUGACCUCAGCUAGCUCUCAUAAUACAACAGAUUCAGGGACGACAGAUCAAAGUAACGCAACCACAUCAUCAGCUCCUGCACUUAACACAACAGGGGCAACGCCAGUCCCUUGCAAGUUCUCACGAAACUGUACUGAUCAGUCUGUGUACUACUGGAUGAUGAUCAGUGUUGAAGUAACUGGGAACGUGUCUGAUGAGUCACACAUUACUGCAUGGCUCCAGAAUCUGUUCGAGCAGCACGUAGGUGAAUGCAGCUCUACUCCCAGUCCUCCUUCCUCCACUCCGUCACAAACGCCAGUGACGUUUACGCCCUCUGAAACCAGCAAUAGCACACAGAGCAGUAGCUUGGCAACCACAUCUGCCAACUUCAGUUCUGCUCCUUCAACGCAAAACGUCAGCUCAGUGACUGGAAACUGGACGUGGGGAAACAGCUCAGUAAAAGAAAAUGAAACCACUACCAGCCUCUUUCAAAACAUUGAGGUGAUAUGUGACAAUAAGACGGCCGUACG
ensembl:lncRNA